rnacentral:rRNA from 1 species
AACGAACGCUGGCGGCAUGCCUAACACAUGCAAGUCGAACGAGACCUUCGGGUCUAGUGGCGCACGGGUGCGUAACGCGUGGUAACCUGCCCUUAGGUUCGGAAUAACUCCCCGAAAGGGGUGCUAAUACCGGAUAAUGUCUUCGGACCAAAGAUUUAUCGCCUUUGGAUGGGCCCGCGUUGGAUUAGCUAGUUGGUAGGGUAAAAGCCUACCAAGGCGACGAUCCAUAGCUGGUCUGAGAGGAUGAUCAGCCACACUGGGACUGAGACACGGCCCAGACUCCUACGGGAGGCAGCAGUGGGGAAUAUUGGACAAUGGGCGAAAGCCUGAUCCAGCAAUGCCGCGUGAGUGAUGAAGGCCUUAGGGUUGUAAAGCUCUUUUACACGGGAUGAUAAUGACAGUACCGGGAGAAUAAGCUCCGGCUAACUCCGUG